rnacentral:lncRNA from 1 species
AUUAGCAAGCACAUAUCACUUGAACUAAAGAGAUAGAAAGAUAGUUCAAGCAUGUGAGGCAAUAGAUAGAUUUAUCAAGAUCAAAUCAAUUUAGUUUAGAUUCUAUUUGCUUAAGAUAAUUAUCAGUAAGAUAUGUUAACUAAGUUUUAAUCAAUUUAUCUUAACCGUUUGUUUCUAUCAAAAUUCAGAUUAUGAUUUAUUGGUUAUUAAUAAAAUAUGAUUCAUUAAAAUUAGAUUGAAGUCUUGCACACGGUCACAUAAUGAGCGUACAAUCUGGUCUACUAGCUGUAUGAUAAAAUAAUUAUUCUAUCAUGCUUCAAUACAGCUUUAACACAAUAGAUCUACUUUUCUCAUCUUUUUCGAAUUCUACAAGAUGGGGUCAUAGAUAUACCUUCUUCAUGCCAAUCUUCUAUAAGAGUUUUCUUGUGGACUAACGUUGGUCAAUGAAGAUCCCCUUUCCUGUUUGUCUUAAUUUGGAGUUUGAGAGAAGAUGUUAAUUCAUUCAUCAUAUUUCAAACUCACCUUGCAAUAUAACUAUUCAUAUAAAUUUUCAUUGGUAGAACAAAAAUGAUGCCA